rnacentral:rRNA from 1 species
AUUGAACGCUGGCGGUAGGCCUAACACAUGCAAGUCGAACGCGAAAGUCCUUCGGGAUGAGUAGAGUGGCGGACGGGUGAGUAACGCGUAGGAAUCUAUCCUGUAGUGGGGGAUAACGUUUCGAAAGGAACGCUAAUACCGCAUACGCCCCAAGGGGGAAAGCGGGGGAUCUUCGGACCUCGUGCUAUAGGAGGAGCCUGCGUCGGAUUAGCUAGUUGGUGAGGUGAAGGCUCACCAAGGCGACGAUCCGUAGCUGGUCUGAGAGGAUGAUCAGCCACACCGGAACUGCGACACGGUCCGGACUCCUACGGGAGGCAGCAGUGGGGAAUAUGGCGCAAUGGGCGAAAGCCGGACGCAGCCAUACCGCGUGUGUGAAGAAGGCCUUCGGGUUGUAAAGCACUUUCAGUGGGGAGGAAAAGCUGGUGGCUAAUAUCCAUCGGCCGUGACGCUACCCACAGAAGAAGCACCGGCUAAUUCCGUGCCAGCCGCCGCCGUAACAC